GGGCGGAGCAGGGGAGGGGGGGCGCAGCCAAUCGCAGAGGCGGCCCCGUGCGGGCUCCGCGCCGCCUCUCGGCCGGGUGGGACCGCAGCGAGGCCUGCGACUCUGCACCCCCAGGCCCCGCGCCCCUCGCCCCGCGCCCGCGGGGGAGCCGCCCAGCCCGGUAAUGAGAGGCCCUCAGAUCCCAGAGGACACCCUACAAGAAGAAGUCAGAAUCGUGCUGAAGACCCGGUCUCCAGCAAACAUGUGAGUUUCAGUUUAGCCUCUUACGGUGAGAACGCAUCCGCUAACAUACUUUGCCUAAACUGAGACCACACGA
rnacentral:lncRNA from 1 species